rnacentral:rRNA from 1 species
UUGAACGCUGGCGGCAGGCCUAACACAUGCAAGUCGAACGGUAACAGGAAGAAGCUUGCUUCUUUGCUGACGAGUGGCGGCCGGGUGAGUACUGUCUGGGAACCUGCCUGAUGGAGGGGGAUAACUACUGGAAACGGUAGCUAAUACCGCAUAACGUCGCAAGCCCAAAGAGGGGGACCUUCGGGCCUCUUGCCAUCGGAUGUGCCCAGAUGGGAUUAGCUAGUAGGUGGGGUAACGGCUCACCUAGGCGACGAUCCCUAGCUGGUCUGAGAGGAUGACCAGCCACACUGGAACUGAGACACGGUCCAGACUCCUACGGGAGGCAGCAGUGGGGAAUAUUGCACAAUGGGCGCAAGCCUGAUGCAGCCAUGCCGCGUGUAUGAAGAAGGCCUUCGGGUUGUAAAGUACUUUCAGCGGGGAGGAAGGGAGUAAAGUUAAUACCUUUGCUCAUUGACGUUACCCGCAGAAGAAGCACCGGCUAACUCCGUG